AACCUGGAAUGCAGAGGAGACUUGGGGGUCACAUCCUGCUGGGGACCCCCUUCUGAGGACAGUCAUCUAAUGCCCCCCAUUUUAUAAGGAGCCUGGAGGCCAAAGGAGAGUUUAUCACACGUCAGGGAGCAGCUCACAUGCCCUUCUCUAAGCGUCCUUAGUCUUCCUCUAGGAAGGGAAAAGUAAACUACCAUUAGGCAACGCCGAGUGUACAACGCCGAGUGUCCGCCAAGAACUGAGUCAAGUGUGUCCUCCCCACUGGUUCACAGAGAGCACAUACGGGCCUUUAGCAGUCACCCUUGAGAUGAAGAAGUGCGACUUAAAUCAUCUACCUGCCAGACGGUGGGGCCAAGCUCUGCAGCUUGCCUCGCUCCUACAACAUUAAAACAUUCUUCAUCUAAUAAAGACCUAUUACCAGCAAUCCAGGAGGUACUGGCCCCUCGUCACAGACGAAGCAAUAUGUCUGCAAGUGUACUGCACAGGUCACGAUGGACUUGAACACAGAUGUGUGACGCCAAAGUGUUAGCGCAAUAAUAGCCUGACUUGGACUAGCCAACUGCAUUCGAGUUUAAAUAAAUAAACCAACACACAGGCCAAACCUGAACUCAAGACGCAGACAGUGUGGUCAGAUGCCAGCACUGGUCAGGACACAAGUCUUAACAAGGAGCCACACAGUCAAGUCAUGGGAGGGCAGCCACCACCACCUGCAGCAUCUGCUCUCUACAGCAGCAAGGAGAGGCAAGGGCCACACUGUCCCCCAGACACAUUUGGGCUCCCUGGAAGUCUCCUGGAAUACAGCAGCCACACUAGCCCAGCACUGCAGACGAGCUGGCAUGACUCUGAAUUCACAGCUAUGCAUUAUACACUGGGAAUAGUUUCUCUGGGACAACCAGGAGUCAGACUGCAAGAGCCGCUGCAUUUCCCUUUGGUGCUGACGUACAGAGGGAGGGGAGGCUUUUUGGGGUGAGGCUGCCCUCAUGCAGCUGGAGAAUCAGCACAGUAGGGUCUUGUGGAAGGUGGACCCCCACCUCCCAGUAUAGAUGCCACCAUCCAGAACAUGGCCUUGGCAGCAGAGCCUGGAGGAACAAGAACUGAGCUUGGCAAAGCAGUUGUUCCUCCUGGAACUCUGACACAGAACCAAAGACAAUGGAGAAUUUCUCUUAGCGGUGGCAGGGGCAACCGGCACCCAGUGCCUGUGUCCAUGGCAACCCCAGGCCCAUCCUGCUUGUUUCCUGCCUGGCCACCUUCCCUCCAUGGGACUGGAGACUAUUUAAGAACAUUCCCCUAAAUCAUCUUCUGGCCUUCCCUCAUCCCCGCUGGUUUCUGUGGUUUGCAAACUAACCUCUUACUAAAGACCUGAGCACUUCCACUCUUCCUGUUUCUCAGCUUCCUCAUUUACAGAGAAAGGAUCAGCCAAGUGCGUUCCGUCAUCCCAGCCACUCGGAGGCUAAGGCGGGAGCAUCACUUGUGAGCUGCCACGGGGGCGCUGGGCGCUGGGACCCUGGCCCUCCCCAAGAGCAGCAGAUGAAAAACUGAAAGUUCAACACAGUAAAAUACCACUUUAAACUCAGACAGACAGAAAGCACCAGACACGGGAAUUAAAUAGUCACACCUCACCUACGAACCCAGGCGCGCCCGCUCUGCUUCAAACACACGAACAACACAGCAGCAGCAGCUGGAAGGGAGCAGCAGCAGCUGGAAGGGAGCAGCAGCAGCUAGAAGGGAGCAGCUGGCGCCUACCUCACCAGGUGGAAUGUGAUAGACCCUUCCUGCUCCCGCCACCAUGCCAUGCCUUCCCAGCAAUAAUGGACUCUCCCUCUGAACCACAAGCCAAAGGAAACCCCUUCCCCCAAGUGGCUUUCAUCAUUAUGAAACAGAGAAAAGUCACCACUGCAGAGAGCAUCGUCACUCCACACGGGAGAGCCCAUACCUCAGUGAACUUCUGAGUAAGCUGGCUUCUGCGACUUCACCUCUGUUGUGUUAUAUCUAAUUCCCUUCAAGACUACUGAAGCACAGCAUGCCUUCCCCGUGGACUCUGCACGAGAGUAACCUAUCAGCUCCCGGCACAGAACAAAUCAGUGGCUCAAAAUAUGUCUCAUGUCACUCAAGAGCCACUCUUUGGAAGUGACAUGGGAUUCGCACCUUCCCCUGAAUGACCUGCUAAUGCCACUGUCAACAGCACCAGGGGCCGCUCCAAGUAGCUGGCUAGGGCAAUUCUGGAGCGGCUUCCCUCCUUCCAUCCCUAUGUGGGUUCCGUGAAUUGGACUUGGGUCACCAGACUUAUACAGAAGUGGCUUCGUCCACUGAGUCAUCUCGAUGGCCCCAAAUCAAAUGAUAAAUGUGAUGUCUUUUAA